rnacentral:rRNA from 1 species
GAUGAACGCUGGCGGCGUGCCUAAUACAUGCAAGUCGAGCGAACAGACGAGGAGCUUGCUCCUCUGACGUUAGCGGCGGACGGGUGAGUAACACGUGGAUAACCUACCUAUAAGACUGGGAUAACUUCGGGAAACCGGAGCUAAUACCGGAUAAUAUAUUGAACCGCAUGGUUCAAUAGUGAAAGAGGGUUUUGCUGUCACUUAUAGAUGGAUCCGCGCCGCAUUAGCUAGUUGGUAAGGUACGGCUUACAAAGGCAACGAUGCGAAGCCGACCUGGGAGGGGGAUCGGCACCCUCGGAACUGGGACCCGGUCCAGACCCCUACGGGGGGACGCGGUAGGGAAUUUUCCGCAAGGGGCGAAAGCCUGACGGAGCAACGCCGCGUGAGGGAGGAAGGUCUUCGGAUCGUAAAACUCUUUUAUUAGGGAAAAACAAAUGUGUAAGUAACUAUCCCCGUCUUGACGGUCCCUAAUCAGAAACCCACGGCUAACUACGG